AGCACUCUGUACUUGCAAAAUGCUCUAGAAUAACCUAACAUAAUUUAAAAAAUUAAACAAUAAUUAUACCUGUAUUUCUUUUAUUUUCUCUUUUGUUUUUGAGUACAAUAUUUUACAAGAUUUAUUAUUAUUCAACCAUUAAUUAUCAGGAUACAACUGAUAAAUGUAAGUUGAAAUAAUAAUUACUUUCAUAAAACUACAUGUGUCUCUAUAUCUUUCAUACUUUGAUUGAUGAAAAACAAUAAACGCUUAAAUAUCUUGUAACGUAUGUCACCAAAAUAGCAGAAAAAGAACUUAGUAACAACAUAUAAACUUAGUAGUUAUAUAAGUUAAAGCUUUUCAUACUUUUUAUAAGUGGGAUAAAAGUUUGUGACGCAGCAGAAAUAAAACUUGGUAGUGUAUGAUUAUCAAUUUCAAUCUACUAUAUGAAAGUCGAUGAUAUUACUUUUGCAGUUGCGAAAGAAACCAACAUAUCCUGAGUUUUUAAAAACUAUGAAAAUUUAAAACCAUUUAAAAAAUCUUUGAUACAAUAUUUUUUUGUUAUGUUUUACACUUAUAAAGUUACUUUCUCACUGCUAUUAUAAAGUAAGAUUGCAUCAAGUUGUAACAAUAAACAUUCUAAAGUAACCAGAGUAAAUAUUAAUUUUGACUUUCAGCAAAGUAGUUUCAUAUUGAACAUAAGAAGAUUAAUAAAGGUAACAAGUUUAUACAAAACAAAUACAAAUUAUUAAACAGUCUGUUCUCCUAUAUUCUUUAUUUCCAUUCAACUCUAAUUUUGUUCGUGCUUUUUUUUUUUUACUUUUUCAAUUUUCAAACUUUCAAACAUUUUAAAAAUAACAAUAUGAUUGAAAUAUGCAACUUUAAUCUAGUCAAUGUAAAAGAAGUAGUAAGUAAAGCAAUAACAAAUCUUCAAGCGCAAUCUCUGUAUUUUCAAAUUCCGUUCAGUUUUCUGGGGCUUUCCAAUAUGGCGAUUUUGGCGUCAAUUUUGAUAUUAGAGAUGCGCUAUCCAGUUAUUAUAGAGAUCAGUGGUCUGAACCAACUUUCCGUUCUAUACGAAUUAUAGUAAAUUGAAAUGUUUUUAUUAAUGAAGAACAAACUCUCAGUGUUAUUUUUUUGUUCUCUCAGUGUUGCUUGUUUUUAAAAAGCCUGUUUUAUUGUUAUAAUGGGUUUAAGUUUUAUGUUCUACCCCUAGAAUUAGGGUGCAAAUAAGUGCCCGUUUGAUAAACCGUAUGAUAACAAUUAUUAUGAUAUCGUUGUUGCAACCGACAAGUUAUUAGUCGGUUUUAAAGACUAAUUGUUCUAGUCGAAUAAUUAUUUGUUAUUGCAACCGAUUAAUUAGCCGGCAAAGCCUUGCUGUAGCCCAUUAUUACCAUCAUUAAUGCAAGUAUACCUAUAAAGUAAGUCCACCUCCAAAGUAACCUUUUGAAUUGAAUAGAGUUGUUUAUCCAAACUUGCAACAAUAAACCUUGAAACUUUCACAAAAGAUAAACAACCUCACAAAGUCGAAUUCCUUUUCCUAUGACUGAUUUUGAAAGUUCCUACAUAGCAGUAUUUAAGAAAUGUUCUGAAUGUUGAUUGUAUUCAAAAAGCUAAAACGAAGCUUGAUAAUCUUCAUACCAUUUAAUAAAGAAAUAAUAAUGAAAAAAUGUUUUAA